CGAUAAUGGGUGUGAAAAACACCCACGCCGAAAGACCAAGGUUUCCUGCGCAACGUUAAUCGACGCAGGGUUAGUCGGUCCCUAAGGCGAGGCUGAAAAGCGUAGUCGAUGGAAAACAGGUUAAUAUUCCUGUACUUCCUUAGCUGCGAUGGGAGGACGGAGAAGGUUAGACCAGCCACCUGUUGGAUGGUGGUUUAAGCGCAAAGGAGUGCACUCUAGGCAAAUCCGGAGUGAUUAUCUGAAGCGUGAUGACGAGUCUCUUUUGAGACGAAGUGGUUGAUACCAUGCUUCCAAGAAAAGU
rnacentral:rRNA from 15 species